GAACUUGUGGUGCAGUGGUAGCACGUCUGACCCCACAUCAGAAGAUGCGUGUUCGAAUCACGCCUGGUUCA